rnacentral:rRNA from 1 species
CCUACGGGUGGCAGCAGUGAGGAAUAUUGGUCAAUGGGCGUAAGCCUGAACCAGCCAAGUCGCGUGAGGGAUGAAGGUUCUAUGGAUCGUAAACCUCUUUUAUAAGGGAAUAAGGUGUGGGACGUGUCCUAUUUUGUAUGUACCUUAUGAAUAAGGAUCGGCUAACUCCGUGCCAGCAGCCGCGGUAAUACGGAGGAUCCGAGCGUUAUCCGGAUUUAUUGGGGGUAACGGGUGCGUAGGCGGCCUUGUAAGUCAGCGGUGAAAGUCUGUGGCUCAACCAUAGAAUUGCCGUUGAAACUGGGGGGCUUGAGUAUGUGUGAGGCAGGUGGAAUGCGUGGUGUAGCGGUGAAAUGCUUAGAUAUCACGCAGAACCCCGAUUGCGAAGGCAGCCUGCUAAGCCAUGACUGACGCUGAUGCACGAAAGCGUGGGGAGCAAACAGGAUUAGAUACCCGAGUAGUC